rnacentral:rRNA from 1 species
AGUCGAACGGAAACCUUCGGGUUUUAGUGGCGAACGGGUGAGUAACACGUAAGCAACCUACCCUAAAGACGAGGAUAACCAUUGGAAACAGUGGCUAAGACUGGAUAGGAAGAUAAAAGGCAUCUUGUAUCUUUUAAAAGACCUAGUUAAUAGGUAUGCUUUAGGAGGGGCUUGCGCCAUAUUAGUUAGUUGGUAGGGUAAUGGCCUACCAAGACGAUGAUGUGUAGCUGGACUGAGAGGUUGAACAGCCACAUUGGGACUGAGACACGGCCCAAACUCCUACGGGAGGCAGCAGUAGGGAAUUUUCGGCAAUGGAGGAAACUCUGACCGAGCAACGCCGCGUGAAUGACGAAGUACUUCGGUAUGUAAAGUUCUUUUAUCGAGGAAGAAAAGCAAAUGGCGAACCAUUUGUUUGCCGGUACUUGAUGAAUAAGCCCCGGCUAAUUAUGUGCCAGCAGCCGCGGUAAGACAUAAGGGGCAAGUGUUAUCCGGAAUUAUUGGGCGUAAAGGGUGCGUAGGCGGUCUAGUAAGUCAGUGGUGUAAUGUCAACGCUUAACGUUGUCCGGCUAUUGAAACUGCUAAACUUGAGUUAGAUAGAGGCGAGUGGAAUUCCAUGUGUAGCGGUAAAAUGCGUAAAUAUAUGGAGGAACACCAGAGGCGUAGGCGGCUCGCUGGGUCUUAACUGACGCUGAGGCACGAAAGCGUGGGGAGCAAACAGGAUUAGAUACCCUGGUAGUCCACGCCGUAAACGAUGAGUACUAAGUGUCGGGUUAAACCGGUACUGAAGUUAACACAUUAAGUACUCCGCCUGAGUAGUACGUACGCAAGUAUGAAACUUAAAGGAAUUGACGGGACUCCGCACAAGCGGUGGAUCAUGUUGUUUAAUUCGAAGAUACCCGAAAAACCUUACCAGGUCUUGACAUGUUUUUGCAAAAUGAUAGUAAUAUCGUGGAGGUUACCAGAAACACAGGUGGUGCAUGGUUGUCGUCAGCUCGUGUCGUGAGAUGUUAGGUUAAGUCCUAAAACGAGCGAAACCCUUAUCGUUAGUUGCCAGCACGUUAUGGUGGGGACUUUAACGAGACUGCCAAUGAUAAAUUGGAGGAAGGUGAGGAUCACGUCAAAUCAGCAUGCCCCUUAUGACCUGGGCUACAAACGUGAUACAAUGGCUGUUACAAAGGGUAGCUGAAACGCAAGUUCUUGGCCAAUCCCCAAAAACAGUCCCAGUCCGGAUUGAAGUCUGCAACUCGACUUCAUGAAG